rnacentral:rRNA from 1 species
AUGAACGCUAGCUACAGGCUUAACACAUGCAAGUCGAGGGGCAGCAUGGUCUUAGCUUGCUAAGGCCGAUGGCGACCGGCGCACGGGUGAGUAACACGUAUCCAACCUGCCGUCUACUCUUGGACAGCCUUCUGAAAGGAAGAUUAAUACAAGAUGGCAUCAUGAGUCCGCAUGUUCACAUGAUUAAAGGUAUUCCGGUAGACGAUGGGGAUGCGUUCCAUUAGAUAGUAGGCGGGGUAACGGCCCACCUAGUCUUCGAUGGAUAGGGGUUCUGAGAGGAAGGUCCCCCACAUUGGAACUGAGACACGGUCCAAACUCCUACGGGAGGCAGCAGUGAGGAAUAUUGGUCAAUGGGCGAGAGCCUGAACCAGCCAAGUAGCGUGAAGGAUGACUGCCCUAUGGGUUGUAAACUUCUUUUAUAAAGGAAUAAAGUCGGGUAUGCAUACCCGUUUGCAUGUACUUUAUGAAUAAGGAUCGGCUAACUCCGUGCCAGCAGCCGCGGUAAUACGGAGGAUCCGAGCGUUAUCCGGAUUUAUUGGGUUUAAAGGGAGCGUAGAUGGAUGUUUAAGUCAGUUGUGAAAGUUUGCGGCUCAACCGUAAAAUUGCAGUUGAUACUGGAUAUCUUGAGUGCAGUUGAGGCAGGCGGAAUUCGUGGUGUAGCGGUGAAAUGCUUAGAUAUCACGAAGAACUCCGAUUGCGAAGGCAGCCUGCUAAGCUGCAACUGACAUUGAGGCUCGAAAGUGUGGGUAUCAAACAGGAUUAGAUACCCUGGUAGUCCACACGGUAAACGAUGAAUACUCGCUGUUUGCGAUAUACAGCAAGCGGCUAAGCGAAAGCGUUAAGUAUUCCACCUGGGGAGUACGCCGGCAACGGUGAAACUCAAAGGAAUUGACGGGGGCCCGCACAAGCGGAGGAACAUGUGGUUUAAUUCGAUGAUACGCGAGGAACCUUACCCGGGCUUAAAUUGCAGAUGAAUUACGGUGAAAGCCGUAAGCCGCAAGGCAUCUGUGAAGGUGCUGCAUGGUUGUCGUCAGCUCGUGCCGUGAGGUGUCGGCUUAAGUGCCAUAACGAGCGCAACCCUUGUUGUCAGUUACUAACAGGUCAUGCUGAGGACUCUGACAAGACUGCCAUCGUAAGAUGUGAGGAAGGUGGGGAUGACGUCAAAUCAGCACGGCCCUUACGUCCGGGGCUACACACGUGUUACAAUGGGGGGUACAGAGGGCCGCUACCACGCGAGUGGAUGCCAAUCCCAAAAACCUCUCUCAGUUCGGACUGGAGUCUGCAACCCGACUCCACGAAGCUGGAUUCGCUAGUAAUCGCGCAUCAGCCACGGCGCGGUGAAUACGUUCCCGGGCCUUGUACACACCGCCCGUCAAGCCAUGGGAGCCGGGGGUACCUGAAGUGCGUAACCGCGAGGAGCGCCCUAGGGUAAAACUGGUGACUGGGGCU